rnacentral:lncRNA from 1 species
AACAUUCCAGAACGUAAGAAUUUUCAUGAUUUGAGACGCAUAACCAAGAGCAACAUUCUUGGCACUGUUACGCACGAAAAAGAGACGCUUCACAAAGUAAUUUUCCCAAUUCAAGGGAACCUUAUUUUGAAGAUUAUACAAGAGAUGAAUGCCUGCCCUGUCUAACCUAGAAUGUCCACUAUUUGCUGGACGCAUAAUGUGCGAGAUAAUCCACUGAAGUAUACG